UGGGGAAUAUUGCACAAUGGGCGAAAGCCUGAUGCAGCAACGCCGCGUGAGUGAUGAAGGCCUUCGGGUUGUAAAGCUCUGUCUUUUGGGACGAUAAUGACGGUACCAAAGGAGGAAGCCACGGCUAACUACGUGCCAGCAGCCGCGGUAAUACGUAGGUGGCAAGCGUUGUCCGGAUUUACUGGGCGUAAAGGAUGCGUAGGCGGAUUUUUAAGUGAGAUGUGAAAUACCCGGGCUUAACUUGGGUGCUGCAUUUCAAACUGGGAAUCUAGAGUGCGGGAGAGGAGAAUGGAAUUCCUAGUGUAGCGGUGAAAUGCGUAGAGAUUAGGAAGAACACCAGUGGCGAAGGCGAUUCUCUGGACCGUAACUGACGCUGAGGCACGAAAGCGUGGGUAGCAAACAGGAUUAGAUACCCUGGUAGUCCACGCCGUAAACGAUGAGUACUAGGUGUAGGAGGUAUCGACCCCUUCUGUGCCGCAGUUAACACAAUAAGUACUCCGCCUGGGAAGUACGAUCGCAAGAUU
rnacentral:rRNA from 1 species